rnacentral:rRNA from 1 species
UACGAAGGGGGGCUAGCGUUGCUCGGAAUCACUGGGCGUAAAGGGCGCGUAGGCGGACUCUUAAGUCGGGGGUGAAAGCCCAGGGCUCAACCCCUGGAAUUGCCUUCGAUACUGAGAGUCUUGAGUUCGGAAGAGGUUGGUGGAACUGCGAGUGUAGAGGUGAAAUUCGUAGAUAUUCGCAAGAACACCAGUGGCGAAGGCGGCCAACUGGUCCGAUACUGACGCUGAGGCGCGAAAGCGUG